UAGCGAAUCCAGCUUCACGAAGUCGGGUUGCAGACUUCGAUCCGAACUGAGAGAGGCUUUUGGGAUUAGCAUCCUGUCACCAGGUAGCUGCCUUCUGUACCCCCCAUUGUAACACGUGUGUAGCCCCGGACGUAAGGGCCGUGCUGAUUUGACGUCAUCCCCACCUUCCUCACAUCUUACGACGGCAGUCUCUCUAGAGUCCUCAGCAUGACCUGUUAGUAACUAAAGAUAAGGGUUGCGCUCGUUAUGGCACUUAAGCCGACACCUCACGGCACGAGCUGACGACAACCAUGCAGCACCUUCACAAAUGCCUUGCGGCUAACCUGUUUCCAGAUUAUUCAUUUGCAAUUUAAGCCCGGGUAAGGUUCCUCGCGUAUCAUCGAAUUAAACCACAUGUUCCUCCGCUUGUGCGGGCCCCCGUCAAUUCCUUUGAGUUUCACCGUUGCCGGCGUACUCCCCAGGUGGAAUACUUAAUGCUUUCGCUUGGCCGCUUACUGUAUAUCGCAAACAGCGAGUAUUCAUCGUUUACUGUGUGGACUACCAGGGUAUCUAAUCCUGUUUGAUACCCACACUUUCGAGCAUCAGUGUCAGUUGCAGUCCAGUGAGCUGCCUUCGCAAUCGGAGUUCUUCGUGAUAUCUAAGCAUUUCACCGCUACACCACGAAUUCCGCCCACCUCUACUGUACUCAAGACAGCCAGUAUCAACUGCAAUUUUACGGUUGAGCCGCAAACUUUCACAACUGACUUAACUGUCCACCUACGCUCCCUUUAAACCCAAUAAAUCCGGAUAACGCUCGGAUCCUCCGUAUUACCGCGGCUGCUGGCACGGAGUUAGCCGAUCCUUAUUCAUAUGGUACAUACAAAAUUCCACACGUGGAAAACUUUAUUCCCAUAUAAAAGAAGUUUACAACCCAUAGGGCAGUCAUCCUUCACGCUACUUGGCUGGUUCAGGCCUGCGCCCAUUGACCAAUAUUCCUCACUGCUGCCUCCCGUAGGAGUUUGGACCGUGUCUCAGUUCCAAUGUGGGGGACCUUCCUCUCAGAACCCCUAUCCAUCGAAGGUUUGGUGAGCCGUUACCUCACCAACUGCCUAAUGGAACGCA
rnacentral:rRNA from 1 species